rnacentral:rRNA from 1 species
AAUCAACGCUGGCGGCGUGCCUCAGACAUGCAAGUCGAACGAUUAAACUUUCCUUCGGGAAAGAUAUAAAGUGGCGCACGGGUGAGUAACACGUAGGUAAUGUGCCUUUGGGUGGGGAAUAACUUAGGGAAACUUAAGCUAAUACCGCAUAAUGCAGCGGCUCCUUCGGGAGACAGUUGUUAAAGAUUUAUCGCCUAAAGAGCAGCCUGCGGCAGAUUAGCUAGUUGGUAAGGUAACGGCUACCAAGGCGACGAUCUGUAUCCGACCUGAGAGGGUGGUCGGACACACUGACACUGAAUAACGGGUCAGACUCCUACGGGAGGCAGC